GAUUUUCUGAGCUUUUGUCCGAUCAACCCUUGUUGUCUUUCCUACCCAAGAACUGAGCCCUUCUGUACGCUGGAGGGAGGCGGAUGAAUGGAGCAGCCCAGGCAGGAAGUAGCGCCUCACUACUUCUAACUCUCUGCUUGGACGGUCGGCUCAGCUUCACUCACGUCUGCCCCUGCUCAUUACUUUACUCUUAAAGAGGGCCAGAAAUUUAUUACAAAAGUAUUUUAAAACAAACUGCCUGCUCAAUCUGUGACUAACAGGCAACGAUCUUCCUCCUGUCAUGGCUAUGUGACCCGUUACCAGCACCAGAGUUUCAUACUUACGCUCUACGCAGCGGCAUCCUAGACGCAGGCAGCGCACGUAGGCCUCUGUCGAUGACUCGCUGCGAAUCUGAUCCCCCGUCAGCGUAGCUUCCUGCUGCUACAUCAAAGGAUGAGAUUACGGGAUGCUCACGUGUUGUGUGAGGAGCUGAUCCAGUAAUGAGACAGGGGAUUGUUCAUGUCCAGGGGUCUGAUGUCUGAGACCCGCUGGUCCCACACUGAGUUCUCUUUAGAGAAGAGGAAACUCAGGAACUAGAGGAGGAGGAGGAUUUGAAAUGAGCAACACAUGAACAGGUUCCGGUUUCAGAGCAGCACGCUGUACCUCGCUGACGGUGAACUCCGGGCCGUUGGUUUUCCUCAUGGUGUCAUCGAUAAAGGUGGUCAUCAGUUCUCGGACCUGGUUCAGAUCGCUGGCCCACAAUUCCUGAGCGAUGGAGGCAGAGAGCAACAGAUUGUAGCCAUAAAUAAAACUUGUGGUUUAGGUGGUGGUUUAGGAUGUUUCAAUAAUGUUACAUUGAAAUUCCAAAAAAUAAUAUAUUAAUAGCCAGAAUAAAUACAUCACACGCAAAUUAACA
rnacentral:lncRNA from 1 species